CAUGAUUCCAUGAUUCUAUGAUUCUAUGAUGCUCUGUGUCCCUACGGAGUCCCCAUGUGUCCUCAUGGAGUCCCUAUGUGUCCCUAUGGAGUCCCCAUGUGUCCCUAAGGUGUCCCCAUGUGUCCCUACGGAGUCCCCUUGUGUCCCUAAGGUGUCCCCAUGUGUCCUUAUGGAGUCCCUAUGUGUCCCUACGGAGUCCCCAUGUGUCCUUAUGGAGUCCCCAUGUGUCCCUAUGGCGUCCCCACGUGUCCCUAUGGAGUCCCCAUGUGUCCCUAAGGUGUCCCCAUGUGUCCCUAUGGCGUCCCCAUGUGUCCCUAUGGAGUCCCCACGUGUCCCUAUGGCGUCCCCAUGUGUCCCUACGGAUCCCCACGUGUCCCUAUGGAUCCCCACGUGUCCCUAUGGAGUCCCCACGUGUCCCUACGGAGUCCCCAUGUGUCCUUAUGGAGUCCCCAUGUGUCCCUAUGGAGUCCCCACGUGUCCCUAUGGCGUCCCCAUGUGUCCCUAUGGAGUCCCCAUGUGUCCC